rnacentral:lncRNA from 1 species
CCGUGCGCCUUCAUGAGGACUUUUAUCCUGAAAUACGAGCGCGCGUGACCGGAAGUGGCGCUUCAGCUGAUCAGAUUAACUGUAAACGGCUCCUUCAGCAUUUCGCUGUUAAAAUUGUGUUUAGUUAAUUAAUCGGUCAGGUCAGCACAGCCAGUCGCUCAUUACAGGUGUCAGGAUGGUGUGUGAGCUGCUGCUGUCCUCGCUCUGGUUCCUGUUCCUCAUCUUCUGGCUGGAGAGCAUCAGUGUUUGGCUCUUUCUGUGUCUGUACUAUCAGGACGGGGUUUUCUAUCACUGGGCUUCAGGUGAGCUUGCAGGUGAUCCGGAUCAGCUCCUCUAUGUGUUGAGCAGAAUCGAUCUGUCUGCGCACAUGCAGACACGAGGAGGUGAUGUCAUCACGCCAGGGUCAGAGGUCAGCGGGUCGUCGUGACCUCCAGAGACUGCAGACCGACAGAGCGGCGAGAUUCAGCGCACAAGCAGCAGGAACUCACAUGAAACCUCUUUAGAACUGUUACCUGCGUGAACACGGACGGCAUUUAACCAGUCCAUGUUUAUAAACUAGCUGGAAUUUCAUUCGAGAAAGUAUUAACAGCUCCAGAUUAACUUUGACCGAAUUAUCGUGUGUUCUAUUUUUAUACCAAUUUCUCUCUUUUUUUCACCUAAUAAUAAAAAUAAAGCAGCUUUAAACAGUUUCUCUGAGGUUUCGUUUCUACACUAAACAGAAACCAGAAAAAUCUGCUUCGAUGGAAAUAAAAAUAACGCUUUAUAUUUCAUACAACCUGAAGAACCUUCACAAACAACCACCGAUCAAUCAAACCCUUCUAUUUUCACAUUAUAUCAGUGCUGCUACUGUGUAUAUUAGUUGUCUAUAUAAACACACACACACAUACAUAAAUAUAUUUAUAUAUGAAUAUAAAUAAUACAUACUGUAUGUGUGUGCAUUUAUAUAAACAGAAUAAAUAUACACAGCACACACCAAUUAUGUAAACAAACUUUUAUAUUGGAUGUGAUUAAUUUUUGAUCAAGCAUUAUAGUAAGGUUACUUGUGUUCACAUUAGUUAAUGCAUAACAAAACAACAUUUUUACAGCAUUUGGAAAUCUGGUUUGUUGCUAAAUCACGUGUGUUCAUCUAUUUGUUUACCAUUUUCUUCUCUACUUCAUGAAAGCAAGGUACUGUGUUACACAGCUAAAAUAAACACCUCUGUUCAUGUAACUGCACUACAUGAAUAAACACUGAUGUACAUCAUUAUAGAAGAUUAUAAAUACAUGAAUAUAUAUAUAAAGAGUGUGUAAUUUGUCUGUGUGCGUGUGAGUUUGAUUCAGGCGCUGAUCGGGGCAGCCGCGGCGGUGGGGUCCUUCAGCAGAAGUCGCACACUGUCGAUAAACUGAUUUAAACUGUUAAUGUGUGUGUUUCGCCGUUGUUUAUCGAUUAUUU